rfam:Brachypodium distachyon strain Bd21 chromosome 2, whole genome shotgun sequence.
AAGGGUAUCCUUUGACCCUUUUUAGUUCAACCAAAUGAACUAAAAUUUUAAAUUGACAUAACUUAUUGAAAAACUAAUUCGUUUGUUUGAACUAAGAAGGGUCAAAGGGUACCCUG